AAACGUAGGAGGCGAGCGUUAUCCGGAUUUACUGGGCGUAAAGGGCAAGUAGGCGGUUACAAAAGUUGGGCGUGACAACUCCCGGCUCAACUGGGAGGGGACGAACAAAACUAGGUAACUAGAGGGCAGGAGAGGGAAGCGGAAUUCCGAGUGUAGCGGUGGAAUGCUCAGAUAUUCGGAGGAACACCAGUGGCGAAGGCGGCUUCCUGGCCUGCACCUGACGCUGAUAGGCGAAAGCUAGGGGAGCGAACGGGCUUAGAUACCCCGGUAGUCCUAGCUGUAAACGUUGGAUACUGGGUAUUGGGGGUGUAGAUUCCCGCAGUGCCGAAGCAAACGCGUUAAGUAUCCCGCCUGGGGACUACGGCCGCAAGGUUAAA
rnacentral:rRNA from 1 species